rnacentral:rRNA from 1 species
UACAGAGGGUGCGAGCGUUAAUCGGAAUUACUGGGCGUAAAGGGUGCGUAGGUGGUUUAGUAAGUCAGCUGUGAAAUCCCCGGGCUCAACCUGGGAACUGCAGUUGAAACUAUUAAGCUAGAGUGCGGUAGAGGGAAGUGGAAUUUCCGGUGUAGCGGUGAAAUGCGUAGAUAUCGGAAGGAACAUCAGUGGCGAAGGCGACUUCCUGGACCGUAACUGACACUGAGGCACGAAAGCGUGGGGAGCAAACAGG